UGUCAGUUCAAACGACGCCAUUUUGUUGUUGACUUCACUACUUCAAUAAUCUUACUCUCCGCUGCAUUUUGCUUUCUGACAGUUUAUCCCGUUUUGGUGAAUCAUGUUUGCGAAUGUAGCAAGCGUGUAUUACCAAGCUCACGAUGAACUAGUCAAGCCAAAGACUCCUCCACCCAGCCUGGCUGUUUCCCAAAUGGACCAUUCCUUCCCAAAUCCAAAGCCACACCAAACAAGCCACUCUGUCAUAUGAUUGGACAAGGUUAUUGACUCAAUUGUGCCGCUGUGAUGUGAGUGAAAUAGUUGUUGACUGUGAUAUGAAACGCCCAUUAAGCAUCAUUUAUCCUUACUUGGAAAAGAAAAUACAACAUAAACAUUAUAUGUACUGCAACAGCCUAAACUGAUGAGAAAAAGAAGCGUUAACGACUAACAGUGUUCCUAAAAUGAGAACAGGACGAAUGUCAUGGAAGAUACUUGUUUACUCAAAAGACAUGAAUUAACGUCAUUACAAGUAAUGCCGAGGAUGAGAA
rnacentral:misc_RNA from 1 species